rnacentral:rRNA from 1 species
GAAGGGUGCAAGCGUUACUCGGAAUUACUGGGCGUAAAGCGUGCGUAGGUGGUGGUUUAAGUCUGCUGUGAAAGCCCUGGGCUCAACCUGGGAAUUGCAGUGGAUACUGGAUUACUAGAGUGUGGUAGAGGGAUGCGGAAUUUCUGGUGUAGCAGUGAAAUGCGUAGAGAUCAGAAGGAACAUCCGUGGCGAAGGCGGCAUCCUGGGCCAACACUGACACUGAGGCACGAAAGCGUGGGGAGCAAAUAGGAUUAGAUACCCUAGUAGUCCACGCCGUAAACGAUGAGAACUAAGUGUUGGAGGAAUUCAGUGCUGCAGUUAACGCAUUAAGUGCCCCGCCUGGGGAGU